rfam:Triticum urartu cultivar G1812 contig284098, whole genome shotgun sequence.
AUGAUACACCCUCCAUCCGAAAAAGCUUGUCCCUCAAAUGGAUGUAUCUAGCAUCAAGUUAGUGCUAGAUACAUUCAUUUGAGCAACAAGCUUGGGACAUGUUUUUUCAGACGGAGGGAGUACAAG